rnacentral:lncRNA from 1 species
UUUUUUUUUGGUAAUUAAAUUUGUAUUAAUCACCAAAUGGUUGCCUUGCAAAAUCAUAGGACAGUUUUAACUCGACUGCCUAUCAAACUGGACACUUGAAUAACCUAUACUACUCUAGCCAAAUCAGCAGAUUAUAACAUGAACUGCUGAAUAUAUGAACUAAGCCUAGGAGGAGCUCGAACAUUACAUAUAUAGGCUAUACUAGUAAGGAGCUUUUCACAGUUACAAAAGAUGUUUUCAAAGAUUCUCGCAUUCCUUUCUAACCAUAAACCAUAGAGCAUUUCUGUUACUGUCAUCUUGAUUGUAUGAGCUCGGGGAGAUUUCCCUUUAGAUUGUUCAAUGAACCAUUGGCAGAAUUGUGACCAAUCCUGCCCAGUGAAGUCUUCAACUCCAAUCCAUUGUAGCGUUUGGUAUCUCAGCUGGGAUGCAUAAGUGCAUUGCACAAAUAAGUGAUCUCUAGUUUCCAUAUCUUGCUGGCACAUAACACAGAUGCCUGAUACAUUCAGAUUCCAUUGCAGCAGCCUAUUCUUUGUAGGAAGUCUAUCUUGCAGUAACAACCACAAAUUGAAG